rfam:Gossypium hirsutum cultivar TM-1 chromosome 13, whole genome shotgun sequence
AACCCAUGGUGAGGGCACCUUCUCAAUAAAUCCUUAUACCUCUCCCAUGCAUCAUAUAGGUUCUCUAAGUCCAUCUAUAUGGAGGAAGAUAUAUCAUUCCUCAAUUU